CAGAGUAGACAGAAAAGCGUAAAGUGCCGCACAGACGGGGAGUUGCUGCGCGGACGAAGGCGUUUUAAAAAACAAAACACCGCGGUUUUUCUGUUGCAUCCCGCUG
rnacentral:ncRNA from 1 species